rnacentral:rRNA from 1 species
UACGUAGGGUGCAAGCGUUGUCCGGAAUUAUUGGGCGUAAAGAGCUCGUAGGCGGCUUGUCGCGUCGACUGUGAAAAUCCCCGAGGCUCAACUUCGGGGCUUGCAGUCGAUACGGGGCAGGCUAGAGUUCGGUAGGGGGAGACUGGAAUUCCUGGUGUAGCGGUGAAAAUGCGCAGAUAUCAGGAGGAACACCGAUGGCGAAGGCAGGUCUCUGGGCCGAUACUGACGUGAGGAGCGAAAAGCGUGGGGGGAGCGAAACAGG